CCUACGGGAGGCAGCAGUGAGGAAUAUUGGUCAAUGGGCGAGAGUCUGAACCAGCCAAGUCGCGUGAAGGAUGAAGGAUCUAUGGUUUGUAAACUUCUGUUAUAGGGGAAUAAAGUGAGGAACGUGUUCCUUUUUGUAUGUACCAUAUGAAUAAGCAUCGGCUAACUCCGUGCCAGCAGCCGCGGUAAUACGGAGGAUGCGAGCGUUAUCCGGAUUUAUUGGGUUUAAAGGGUGCGUAGGUGGUUAAUUAAGUCAGCGGUGAAAGUUUGUGGCUCAACCAUAAAAUUGCCGUUGAAACUGGUUGACUUGAGUAUAUUUGAGGUAGGCGGACUGCGUGGUGUAGCGGUCAAAUGCAUCGAUAUCACGCAGAACUCCGAUUGCGAAGGCAGCUUACUAAACUAUAACUGCCACUGAAGCACGAAAGCGUGGGGAUCAAACAGGAUUAGAUACCCCAGUAGUC
rnacentral:rRNA from 1 species